UACGUAGGGUGCGAGCGUUGUCCGGAAUUAUUGGGCGUAAAGAGCUCGUAGGCGGCGCGGUAAGUCGGGUGUGAAAUCUCGGGGCUUAACUCCGAAACUGCAUUCGAUACUGCCGUGCUUGAGGACUGGAGAGGAGACUGGAAUUCAUGGUGUAGCAGUGAAAUGCGUAGAGAUCGUGGAGGAAGACCCGUGGCGAAGGCGGAUCUCUGGACGGCUAACUGACGCUGAGGCGCGAAGGCCAGGGGAGCAAACGGG
rnacentral:rRNA from 1 species